GUGCUCGCUUUGGCAGCACAUAUACUAAAAUUGGAACGAUACAGAGAAGAUUAGCACGGCCCCUGCACAAGGAUGACAUGCAAAUUCGUGAAGUGUUCCAUAUUUUU
rnacentral:snRNA from 1 species